rnacentral:misc_RNA from 1 species
CUGAGUUGAAAAACUCCAACCCCUGUGAACAUAACCUCUGUCGUUGCUUCGGCGGGCACGCCCGCCGGAGGUUCAAAACUCUUAUUUUUUUCAGUAUCUCUGAGCCUAAAAGACAAAUAAUCAAAACUUUCAACAACGGAUCUCUUGGUUCUGGCAUCGAUGAAGAACGCAGCGAAAUGCGAUAAGUAAUGUGAAUUGCAGAAUUCAGUGAAUCAUCGAAUCUUUGAACGCACAUUGCGCCCGCCGGUAUUCCGGCGGGCAUGCCUGUUCGAGCGUCAUUUCAACCCUCAAGCCUCGGCUUGGUGUUGGGGCGCCCGGGCCCUCCGCGGCCCGGGGCCCCCAAGUUCAUCGGCGGGCUCGUCGGUACACUGAGCGCCAGUAAAACGCGGUAAAACGCGAACCUCGUUCGGAUCGUCCCGGCGUGCUCCAGCCGCUAAACCCCCAAUUUUUUAAA